AUAACAAACAUAUAUGCACCUUGUAUAAGUUCAAGAAUAUGGCUUGAACGUUUCUACCAGCUACCUUAAAUGGCUUGUCUACAAGAUAAAGUAAGACCAAU
rnacentral:ncRNA from 2 species